rnacentral:tRNA from 1 species
GUUGGAGUGGCAGAGCCCGGUUAAGCGCAGGUCCUAAGAUCCUUCUACAAAGGUUCAAAUCCUUUCUUCAACU